rnacentral:lncRNA from 1 species
CAUGUUCUGUUUAAACCAAGCAGCUCUGCUCUCUGUUCAACUCUUACUCAUUGUCCAUGUUCAUGCAGGGACAGUUCCAGUUGAUCACAGGAAUACACUGGUGUCCAGAGGAGACUCAGUCAUGCUCACCUGCAACAUAUCGAUAAAUAAUGGAACACAAACCAACUGGAACAAAGACAGAUUUUAUUUACUUUAUUCAUUCACAUAUAAUCUGAAUUCUUCCAAUUUUACCUCUGACAGAUUCAGAAUAGACGUUAAUUUAACCACAACGCUGAAUAUAUUUAAUGUUCAGCAUGAAGACGCUGGACUUUAUACAUGUACUGUAACUGAUAUAGAUGGUGUAAAGACCAUAAGGUGGAAUUUAACAGUUUCUGAGAGUUUCAAAGGAAUUGGACAAUUAUGGUAUGUUCUCUACAUACUGACACCUAUCACUGGAAUUAUUCUGUGUGGCUUCAUAUUAGCUGUUUACAUCUGCAGGUGGAUCGUUCUCAAACACAAGGUGACAUGGAUCAUAGGCCUAACAGGAGGAGUCAGUACAUGGAGAGAUUCAAUUCAAUAUAUGAUUUAA